GACGAACGCUGGCGGCGUGCCUAAUACAUGCAAGUAGAACGCUGAAGGAGGAGCUUGCUUCUCUGGAUGAGUUGCGAACGGGUGAGUAACGCGUAGGUAACCUGCCUGGUAGCGGGGGAUAACUAUUGGAAACGAUAGCUAAUACCGCAUAAGAGUAGAUGUUGCAUGACAUUUGCUUAAAAGGUGCAAUUUCAUCACUACCAGAUGGACCUGCGUUGUAUUAGCUAGUUGGUGAGGUAACGGCUCACCAAGGCAACGAUACAUAGCCGACCUGAGAGGGGGAUCGGCCACCCUGGGACUGAGACACGGCCCAGACUCCUACGGGAGGCAGCAGUAGGGAAACUUCGGCAAUGGACGGAAGUCUGACCGAGCAACGCCGCGUGAGUGAAGAAGGUUUUCGGAUCGUAAAGCUCUGUUGUAAGAGAAGAACGAGUGUGAGAGUGGAAAGUUCACACUGUGACGGUAUCUUACCAGAAAGGGACGGCUAACUACGUG
rnacentral:rRNA from 1 species